rnacentral:rRNA from 1 species
CCUACGGGAGGCAGCAGUGAGGAAUAUUGGUCAAUGGGCGGAAGGCUGAACCAGCCAAGUAGCGUGAGGGAAGACUGCCCUAUGGGUUGUAAACCUCUUUUAUGCGGGGAUAAAGGUGUCCACGUGUGGAUGUUUGCAGGUACCGCAUGAAUAAGGACCGGCUAAUUCCGUGCCAGCAGCCGCGGUAAUACGGAGGGUCCGGGCGUUAUCCGGAUUUAUUGGGUUUAAAGGGAGCGGAGGUCGGUCUUUAAGCAGGUCGUGAAAUUUUGUGGCUCAACCAUGAAAGUGCCGCGGGAACUGGCGACCUUGAGUGCACGGGAGGUAGGCGGAAUUCGUGGUGUAGCGGUGAAAUGCUUAGAUAUCACGAAGAACCCCGAUUGCGAAGGCAGCCUGCCGAAGCGUUACUGACGCUGAUGCUCGAAAGCGCGGGUAUCGAACAGGAUUAGAUACCCUUGUAGUC